GCCAGUCCUUGUACUCCCUGAACCACUUUUGUGUAUGCUUGCACUUUGAUGUAGAGGUCCCCUUUGUGGAACCUCCCAGCCAGGGAUCUCCAAGACCCAUAUAAGUGUUAGUUUUGAAAUUCUAACGUAAGCCCGUGAAGUGGUUCAUGACUUCUUUUUGUUCUACAAGAAGAAGAGUAAACAGAGGUGCUAAGCUGCAUCCCUUCCAUCUGGCUACGUGCCCAGAGGAGUCUGCAAAACUGCUCUUGGGGAAGGGCUGUGGAAAGAACUGGUCGAGGAAUCUUCAGGAUCCUCCAAGUGUGCCCUGAUUGUCCUUGGUCCAGGAAUGGGAAGUGCUACCAACUAUGCAAGGCUCGCAAGGCUCCCAGUCCUUCCUGAUGACUUCCAUCCUGAUAAAUGGGGCAUACUGGAAAACUGGACAGCUCCAGAGCAUAGCUUUCCAUUUCUGGUCUGUUUGGUAUCUCCUGGUCUGUCCACACAUGGGCACUCUCAUUUGUACAUGCACAAAUCAAUUAGCAUGCACCUUUUUCUGUGUAAAGAAGCUUGUUCCUUGGGCAGUUGUACAUCACAGACUGGUGACACCUUCUAAUCUUAUUUUAGGAGCUGGUGGUAGGUUUUUUACACAUUGACCUCAAACCUGCACACACAAAAAAAUAUCUGCUCUUAAACUUUCAAGCCUUGUUUUUCACACUUCCCAGCAAGGGAGAAAGAUAAAGAACACUCAGACCUAAGAAUGUAUUUUAUGAUCAUUGAGAAAGCAAUAAAAUCUUCUGCUUCGAAGCUGAGAUACAUAAUCCAUGUGUAUCUGCCUGAGGCUGGUCCAAGCAGAGCUCCCACAAGGCUGAGAUGUGAUGGACACGAGGUGAUGGAUGCAGUGUCACAGGCUGUUUGGAGGUGGCAGCAUUCAUAUCCUGGCUAUUGGUAAGGGCUUGGAAGUUAUUACAUCCCCUGCUCAGUGGGGGAGAGAGAUAAGGAGCACUUUCAGCAAGGUCUAAACACACGGGGUGGUGAUAAAUGCAAAUCCCUCAAGCUCUGCACAACGGGGCUAAUGGGUCUUCAGCUUCGGCGGAAAGAGAGUCACAGCCUGGCUGACCUUGCCUAGGAGCACAAAAGACAAAAAGAUGAGAAACUGUAGGAAGCAGCAGCUGUGACUGAAAGAGGGAGAGGCGUUUGGGUUCCAGAAUCUCAGAGACAUGGCCAUCGGUGUCCAUUGGGGGGACAGGCCUGAUGGCAAUUUGGCCAAAAGCAUGCAGGUGGCAGGGUGCACAUUUGUCUUGGUGGAAAUCAAGGUUUUUGAGGGGUUUGUUGAAGCCAACCAACCACCAGCACUCACUCUGCUUUGGGAUUCUCCAGGACUGAAGUCAGCCCUGGAUGUGCAUCGUGGCAGCCCUGGGGUGUUUACCUGCCCCUGCACUGGGGCAGCCUCUCCCUGGGGCUGUGAUUGCUGAGGCCACUGCCAGCAAACCUGCCCAGGUCACUGGGACCAGGGAGAAAGGCUCUUGGGACACAGAGGGACACUGAGAGUGCAGGAACUGACAGCCCUGGGUUCAGCUCUGUUGGGACCCCUCUGAGGUCUGAAUGCCUGCAGUGUGCUGGUUAAGGAAACACACCUUUCCCUUGCCAUUCUUCAGCCUUGAGUGAUGCAUAAUCACCAAUAUUUGCUGAAGCUGCUUGUUAAUGAUGUUUACUGGAAGGCAUUUCCCACCGUGUCUUCCCAAAAGAUGUGGUGCUGUCCCACAGGACACAGCACUGCUCUAAACUGCCAGGAAGUUAAGGCAAAAAUAUCACCUUUCCCAAGGUGCUAAAUGACUGGCAUGGACUUGCAUACUUAUUGCAUUCUGCUCCCCUCUCUGCCACAAUCAAUACCAGUCUGAUUUCUUUAUCAUGGCUGAUGGGGGGAUGGAGAUGAGCGAUCCUGCUCAUACCUCAGCUUUGGCAUUUUGAUUCCCAAACAGCC